rnacentral:misc_RNA from 1 species
UUCAUGAUUUGAGAGCCAAGGGUUAAACUCCCUACUCUCUUCUUCACCUUCAUCAGAGUCUAGGGUCUGAAGUCCCUGCUCUCUUCUUAUCCUUCAUCAGACAUUAGGGUUUAAAGUCCUUUCUCUGGUUUUAUUUUCCUUUAUUUCAUUUUUCUGUUUUUCAAAAAUCAGAUAUGAAAUCACAGACAAACUUAAGAAAGUCUCUCACCUAACCCAUCCAUUUUUUGGAUCCCUUUUGUCUCACCCACCACACCAGAAGAAGCACUGCAUGCCAGCAGCCUGAACCCAGAAGCUCGUCAUCAGAACAACAAGCAUGUGUUCUCACAUGUCGUUUCUUCUUUCAAGCCCAAUGCGCAAACGGGUGGCGCCAUCUUUGGCGAGCUUUGCUAAUUGGACUUGCUUCCACUAGAGUGCAAAGUCGCCCAAAUCAGAGGAACUCCUCUAGCACUUUGCCCACUUUUGAUUUCAAAGAAACUCCACCCUCUAUUUAUAGUAGUUGCAUUUUUGUUUUAUUUAUAUAUAUUUUUUAAAAGGGUCUUUGAUUCCAUAAUUUUAGAAAGAUCUCUUCCAAGGG